AUUGAACGCUGGCGGAAUGCUUUACACAUGCAAGUCGAACGGCAGCACGGGGGCAACCCUGGUGGCGAGUGGCGAACGGGUGAGUAAUACAUCGGAACGUGCCCAGUCGUGGGGGAUAACGUAGCGAAAGUUACGCUAAUACCGCAUACGAUCUACGGAUGAAAGCGGGGGACCGUAAGGCCUCGCGCGAUUGGAGCGGCCGAUGUCAGAUUAGGUAGUUGGUGAGGUAAAGGCUCACCAAGCCGACGAUCUGUAGCUGGUCUGAGAGGACGACCAGCCACACUGGGACUGAGACACGGCCCAGACUCCUACGGGAGGCAGCAGUGGGGAAUUUUGGACAAUGGACGCAAGGCUGAUCCAGCCAUUCCGCGUGCAGGAUGAAGGCCCUCGGGUUGUAAACUGCUUUUGUACGGAACGAAAAGGUCUCUCUUAAUACGGGGGACUCAUGACGGUACCGUAAGAAUAAGCACCGGCUAACUACGUGCCAGCCGCCGCCGUAA
rnacentral:rRNA from 1 species